UACGUAGGGUGCGAGCGUUGUCCGGAAUUAUUGGGCGUAAAGAGCUCGUAGGCGGUCUGUCACGUCGGAUGUGAAAGCCCGGGGCUUAACCCCGGGUCUGCAUUCGAUACGGGCAGACUAGAGUUCGGUAGGGGAGAUCGGAAUUCCUGGUGUAGCGGUGAAAUGCGCAGAUAUCAGGAGGAACACCGGUGGCGAAGGCGGAUCUCUGGGCCGAUACUGACGCUGAGGAGCGAAAGCGUGGGGAGCGAACAGG
rnacentral:rRNA from 1 species